rnacentral:misc_RNA from 1 species
GUGAAUCAUCGAAUCUUUGAACGCAAAUUGCACUCUCUGGUAUUCCGGAGAGUAUGCCUGUUUGAGGGUCAGUUUAAAUAAAAAUCGGUGUGGUUGCUGCCUCUCGUGGUGACGCACCGGAUGUGGGUCGUGUUGCCUUCGGUUAAGUGACAUAAAAUUUUGUAUGAUUUUUUUGAAAGUAUUUAAAUGAUUUUAUGUACGUUUGCGUUAUCGAAUAGUUGGUGCGGGGUUUCUCAUG